rnacentral:lncRNA from 1 species
AUGGCUGCCGGCAGUUCUCAGAGCUACCGCGGAGCCAGGCAGGCGCGCACACAGGGCAGCCCCCCUGUUACCUCCCAUACAGUAGCCACGCUCACCUGGGGAGCCUCGCGUCAGACCACGCCACACCCGCUCCAAGUGUGCAAUGGCCCGCGUCAGACCAGCCACACCUGCUCCAAGUGUGCAAUGGCCCGCGUCAGACCACGCCACACCCGCUCCAGAUCUGCAAUGGCCCGCGUGGGACCACGCCACAUCCGCUCCAAGUCUGCAGUGGCCCGCGUUGGACCACGCCACACUGGCUCCAGGUCUGCAAUGGCCCGCGUCGGACCACGCCACACCCACCCCAAGUGUGCAAUGGCCCGCGUCAGACCACGCCACACCCGCUCCAAGUCUGCAAUGGCCCGCGUCAGGCCAUGCCACACCCGCUCCAGGUCUGCAAUGGCCCGCGUCAGGCCAUGGCACACCAGCUCCAAGUCCGCAAUGGCCCGUGUCAGACCACGCCACACCCGCUCCAAGUUUGCAAUGGCCCGCGUCAGGCCAUGCCACACCCGCUCCAGGUCUGCAAUGGCCCGCGUCGGACCACGCCACACUCGCUCCAGAUCUGCAAUGGCCCGCGUCGGACCACGCCACACUCGCUCCAGAUCUGCAAUGGCUCUGGCCUCCUUCCGGGCAAAGGCUGCCAUACUCACCGUGGCCUGCAAGGCCCUGCUCCGCCCGGCUCCUGACCCCUCACCUGCAGCCAGCGCCCACCCUGCUGGUGCCGCUCCCUCGCCCUUCCCUGAGCCUGCCAGGCCCCUCCCUCGUCUGUCAGUGUCUGCUAUUGCAAUUCCCUCUGCCUGGAAUGCCUUCCUCCCGCAUGUCAGUCCACCCUGCUGGCCCCUUCAUUCCCACAGACCCAACUCAGGCAUCCCCUCCGGAGGUGCUCCCUCAUCGUCUUCUUUACAAGUAAGCCUCUGCUCACACCCCAAGACUCUGCUUUACCUUUCUCCACAGCCCCUAUUGCCAUCCAACAAACUGUGUUUAACUUACUUAUUUUAUUCGUUGUCUCUCUGUACUAGAAUGUAA